rnacentral:rRNA from 1 species
UACGGAAGGGGGCUAGCGUUGCUCGGAAUCACUGGGCGUAAAGGGCGCGUAGGCGGCCAUUCAAGUCGGGGGUGAAAGCCUGUGGCUCAACCACAGAAUUGCCGUUCGAUACUGUUUGGCUUGAGUUUGGUAGAGGUUGGUGGAACUGCGAGUGUAGAGGUGAAAUUCGUAGAUAUUCGCGAAGAACGACCAGUGGCGGAAGGCGGCUCACUGGCCCGAUACUGACGCUGAGGCACGAAAGCGUGGG